rnacentral:lncRNA from 1 species
AGCUGUUUUCUCUCCUCAAUUGUAAUAUUUUUUUUAUCUAUCUUAAUAAAAGCCAGAUGUCUCCUUUUUCGGCCUCCCUUUAUAUCAAAAAAAAAAGAAGAAGAAAGAGAGAAAACCUUAUAAUUUAUUGAUGAUAAAUGUCUGGCGUUCAAAGACGCACAUCAACAAAGAGGUAAAGCAAAGUUUUCAAACUCUAAUCAAACCUACCGGUUGGACGAGAAUUGGACAGGCCUUGGUUGAAUUAGCCAGUCCGAGCUGAGUUAUCCAAUUUGUUAUGUAAGGUAAAGUUUUGUCUCGCUAAUAAUGCACCAUCUCUCAUCUCCAUCCUCUUUCUUCCUCGCUUUUCUUCAAUGGCUUCAGCAAGGAUAGAGAACUCCAAUUUCAAAGACAUUCCAACUGGCUUCAAUGACCACCGACGAUAUCAAUGAGGCCUCCCGCCUCCUCGACAGCAAGAUCUAGAUCCUCAAGGUCAAACCCUCACCUCCACGACAAUGAGAUCUAAAUUCUUAAGGUAAAAUCCUAAUCAAGAUCCCAUCCUUUUCCCAAAUCAAUCUAGGGUUUCCUCCGCCCAUCUCUUUUCCUUCCCAUUCCUUGUCACACUCAUUCUAUGAUGGAUUAGAAAUUUUUAUCUUAAUUCUUCUAAGAUCUCCAUCAAGAUUAGUUGCAGAGGACCCCUUAAGAAAAAAAUGAGGCAAUUUUUUUCAAUUUCUUUGAAAUCUUUUCUAAUUUUAUAAUUUUUGCAAUCU